UGAUGUGAGGGUGAUCUGGCUGAGACAUCUGUCACCCCAUUGAGCUUCAGGGUUGAUUCAGCUGAUCUGGCUGUCUAGGCGGGUGUCCCCUUCCUCCCUCACUGCUCCAUGUGCGUCCCUCCUGAAGCUGCACGCUCGGUCGAAGAGGACAGCCUUCCCCGAAUAGAGAAAGACUGGUCUUGGGUCGAGGGUAUAUGAGUAGCUGCGCUCCCCUGCUAGAACCUCCAAACAAGUCACAUUGAGAUUCCACCUCACACCUGUGAGAAUGAACUCCAUCAAUAAAACAAGAGAAGGUAAGUGCUGGAGAGGAUGUGGAGAGAGAGGAACUCUCUACACUAC
rfam:Erinaceus europaeus unplaced genomic scaffold scaffold00800, whole genome shotgun sequence